UGGGGAAUCUUGCACAAUGGGGGAAACCCUGAUGCAGCGACGCCGCGUGAACGAUGAAGCCUUUCGGGGUGUAAAGUUCUUUCGGCAGGGACGAUUAUGACUGUACCUGCAGAAGCAGCUGCGGCUAACUACGUGCCAGCAGCCGCGGUAAUACGUAGGCAGCAAGCGUUGUUCGGAAUUACUGGGCGUAAAGAGUGCGUAGGCGGUUGGUUAAGUUUGGUGUGAAAUCUCCCGGCUCAACUGGGAGGGUGCGCCGAAAACUGGCCAGCUAGAGUGUGAGAGAGGAAAGCGGAAUUCCUGGUGUAGCGGUGAAAUGCGUAGAUAUCAGGAGGAACGCCUGAGGUGUAGACGGCUUUCUGGAUCAUGACUGACGCUGAGGCACGAAAGCGUGGGUAGCAAA
rnacentral:rRNA from 1 species